AAUUCAUUAUUGACAAGUGUGAGUGUGUCCGUUGUCCCGAUGGCUACUACUUGUACAUGCAGAACGGCCUUCCGAAGUGUGACCGCUGCAGCGACGCCUGCUCAGGUAACUUUUACACUUAGGCAUUUACAUUGUGGUCUUUCAUUCCUCUACACUAAACGUCAUACCCAUCAUUAAUUAUUUACCUCAAGGAAAUACAACAUGUACAUUGGUAACAAUAGUUUAAUAUAAAAUGCCAUCAUUAUUUUUUACAUGAGUUCAUUUGUGUGUUUGUGUGUCUUUGUUUGCGGGCAAAGUUGACCAGCACUUGACGCAGGUGAAAGAAUGCGGCCGGGACUCAAACCGCGAGUGCCACUGUGACAGUGGCUUUUUCUGUGAAAUCGCUGCCCAGUAUACCUGCAGGAGGUGUAAGCCGUGCUCGCCCGGAACCUUCUCUAACAAACCAAACCUAACCAUGUCCUGCAAACCCCACACAGAGUAAGUCCACAGUUAUACAGCCCUGGUGCUGAGCUGAUUCAGACAUUCUCUGCCUACCAUAAAGACUUGACCUGUUAAGCUGUAUCUCCCUCUAGUGGAUUAAUGAGUCAUUUGAAGCAAACAAUUGUACACACGGCCUACUUUUACAGUAAAUUCAAUUAUUAUACCUACUAGUAUCCAACACUGCACUUUCUCAUUUAGAUAAACCACCUCACAAGUUCUCUCCUGGCUUCUCCCCAGUUGUGGCCAUAAGGGAAUGACUAUGGUGACAGAGGGCACUGCUACUCAGGAUCGUUUAUGUGCCCAGACCUCCCCUAACUCUCCUACAACCACUGCGCCUCCAACUGUCCACAGCUCAGAGAUAGGCUUUCAUUCUUCUACCUACAGUGGAGUCAGCACCACCCGAAAACCCCUCAUCAUAGCAUCCCCAUCUGGCCUGGUGGGGUCUACAUCUCCUGAUGGUAUGGCUCUUAUGAGAGCUUUCUCUCACUUGAGUGAAUCCAAGCAUUUCCUGCUCUGUCCACUGGAGGGCUUUAAUAACAUGCUUCACCAGUCCAGCUCUAGAGGUUUCAUUGUCCUGCCAUUUAAUCACACUCAUUCUCUGUUUAUUCCAGCCUUUCCCAUAGCCACAAUUGACACAUCUGCAGACCCUUCACCAGCCUUACUCACCAGGCCUUCUUUGUCCCAAGCCCAUAGCGAGCCCUCUACCUCCCUCCCAACUAGGAAACAAGUCACUGAACACAGCUCCUUUGACCCCAACACAAAGCUCACCACCAGGAGAAACCCCAGCAAGGUGGACAGUAACACCUCACCUGCAGAGUCUGCCUCUGUACCUCUUACCACAGAUGACAAUGACUCACCUCAUCUCCCAGCAACAGAUACUGGACCGAGCCCUUCCACUCUCCCAUGGCUGCUGCUGAUAGGUGGGCUACUAGGGGUUGUCGUGCUGCUGGUUGUUUACUUUGUCCGUUGUAAGGAGAGGUCACUGAAGUCCCUAGACAAGUGGAAAGGUCCAGUAUUUGGUAUAAAUGCCCAGCCACCACAGGAGAGUUGCCCAUACACGGAGGCCCAGCAUCUUCUGGGGUGUGAGACUGGGGGAAAUCCUAGACAGGAUGGUGCAGGGUGGCUACCUCCAGGGGUCAUGAAGCAGGUCACAGUGGACCACUCUGGUGGAGAGAACAUUAGCAACACAGUGGGGUCCAUUUACAUCUACUCUCCGGGGACGGUUGUCCUGGGAUACAACAAGUCGGAGAGGAAGGUGGAUCAAGUCAAGAGUGGGGUAGAGGGCUGUCCCCUCACCAGAACACCCCAGCAGGAGUCCUCCUGCCCCCUCCCUGAGGGCCCUGCUCUGGGGCCAGAGAGAAUGAGUACACAGGAGGAGACCUGCAAAGAGCUGAGAUACCCCAUCCCGGCCACCAGCAACUGA
rnacentral:lncRNA from 13 species